GACGAACGCUGGCGGCGUGCUUAACACAUGCAAGUCGAACGGAUGGGCCUGCUUUUCCUUGUGGAUUGCUGAUACUCGAGUGGCGAACGGGUGAGUAACACGUUGGUGAUCUUCCCCCAACUUGGGUAUAAGACUGGGAAACUGGGUCUAAUUCUCGUUAGGACUGCAGGGUUGUGCCUGUUGUGGAAAACGAUUUUCUAUUGGUUGGGGAUGAGCUCGCGGCUCAUCAGCUUGUUGGUGUGGUAAUGGCCUACCACAACGGCGACGGGUAGCCGGCCUGAGAGAGUGGACGGCGAGAUUGGGACUCAGUUGCGGCCCAGGCUGAUAUGGGAGGCAGUAGUGGUAAAUAUUUCACCAUGAGCGGGAGCCAGAUGCGGCGACGCCGUGUAGGGGAUGGCAGCGUUCGGAUUGUAAACUCCUAUCGACCGCGAGGAAGGAAACUGGCUGGAAGGUUGGUGACGGUACUUGUAGAAGAAGCACCGGCUAACUACGUG
rnacentral:rRNA from 1 species